rnacentral:lncRNA from 1 species
UCUGGCUCCUAAACAUAGAUGUUGGCUAAUUCCUGAAGUUUCAUUUCUCCCUUACACAGGUGCAGCAAACCUUUGACUGUUUGUGAUGUGACACUACGCUGUUUACUAAGCUGUGAUCACAAGAAUAGGUGGGGGCAAACCAGCUGGUGGAGCUGCACGUUGUCUUCCAGGGGCUGAGGCUUUGCAUCAUCUUCAAGCAAGGCUGGAGCACUAAACUUUAAAAGAAAGUUGCUACCCACUUCUGCUGCUCUCACAGAAUCUUGGAAUCAAGAAUCUUGAAUUGAAUCUUGGAAUUCAAAGUUUUGUGCACAUCAAUCCACAUUUUCCUAUCUCAUGUGCCAAGGUCCCAUUCUUUCCCAGUCUUGGCAUGCAGACUUGUCUUGGUUUGGGAACCUAUCCUUUGUUGGAGCUUUUCUUGUCUUAUGUGAAGUGCUGCACCUGCCCCUGAGCUUUCUCUGCUUAUCAGGUGAAGAAGUACUAUAAGAAGGCCCUUUGAUUGGCACCCUUUGUUUUUAAUUGCCUACUUAUUACUCUCAGUCUCAGUAAUAUUCUUCACCCCAAAGCAUCAUUUGUAUUUGUCAACAAGUAUACAGUUUCACUGCUUUCUAAUCACCCCCUGUUUAUCACUUGCCAGACAUUGCAGCUGCUAAUAUAAUACCUUGAGCUGGAACACCACUCAAACUCACCACUCAUGAGGGUUUUAACUUGUGCGUUAGUACCUUACGGCAAGGUUCAUGUGUGUUUUAUCUACUCCUAGUGUUGGAGUGCUUAUUGCCUCUGGAUGACAAAUCAUCAUCUAUUUCCUCAACUUCCACAAGUGAAUUUAUGCAGGGAGUAUAUUAGGGAAUACUUCUGAUAUUUCUUGUGGGAGAGAAGGAAGGAGGAGUAAAGAACCAAUGAAGUUCGGUUACAGCCCAGCUCCAUUGGAGACCCAGUUGUCCCAGGUGUAGCUAGAGCACCUUUCAGAACUGAGUGUGGAUUCCUGUCUCUGUCUGUUAGUCAUUGGGUGUUUCUCUCUGGGAAGGUGGUAUGCUCUUGGACUUCACAAUUUUCUCACCUGAGAUAUGGUCAAAUCAGUGUGGUAGUUGAGGGCUACCUAUCCUCAAUACCCUCAGCAGUUGGGUCUAGAAGGAAGAUUUGAAUGGCACAUGAUAGCAUCCACUAUAUGUAAGUUUCAGCCAUUCUGCUCUGCUAAUCAGUAUACCACUCUUAUAUUCAUCUACUUCACAC